UACGUAGGCAGCGAGCGUUGUUCGGAAUUACUGGGCGUAAAGCGCGUGUAGGCGGCCCGGUAAGUCCGCUGUGAAAGUCCAGGGCUCAACCCUGGGAUGGCGGUGGAUACUGUCGGGCUCGAGUCCGGAAGAGGAGGGUGGAAUUCCUGGUGUAGCGGUGAAAUGCGCAGAUAUCAGGAGGAACACCAAUGGCGAAGGCAGCACUCUGGGACGUGACUGACGCUGAGACGCGAAAGCGUGGGGAGCAAACAGG
rnacentral:rRNA from 1 species